UUAUCCGGAUUUAUUGGGUUUAAAGGGUGCGUAGGCGGCAAGGUAAGUCAGCGGUGUAAGACCAGGGCUCAACUCUGGAAGUGCCGUUGAUACUGUCUGGCUAGAAUGAUUCCGCCGUGGGAGGAAUGAGUAGUGUAGCGGUGAAAUGCAUAGAUAUUACUCAGAACACCGAUUGCGAAGGCAUCUCACGAGGGGUUCAUUGACGCUGAGGCACGAAAGCGUGGGGAUCGAACAGGAUUAGAUACCCUGGUAGUCCACGCAGUAAACGAUGAUGGCUAACUGUCGGGCCUUCGGGUUCGGCGGCCAAGCGAAAGCGAUAAGCCAUCCACCUGGGGAGUACGACCGCAAGGUUGAAACUCAAAGGAAUUGACGGGGGCCCGCACAAGCGGAGGAACAUGUGGUUUAAUUCGAUGAUACGCGAGGAA
rnacentral:rRNA from 1 species